rnacentral:rRNA from 1 species
AUUGAACGCUGGCGGCAGGCCUAACACAUGCAAGUCGAACGAGUGGCGGACGGGUGAGUAAUGUCUGGGAAACUUCCUGAUGGAGGGGGAUAACUACUGGAAACGGUAGCUAAUACCGCAUACCAUCGGAUGUGCCCAGAUGGGAUUAGCUAGUAGGUGGGGUAAAGGCUCACCUAGGCGACGAUCCCUAGCUGGUCUGAGAGGAUGACAAGCCACACUGGAACUGAGAAACGGCCCAGACCCCUAGGGAAGGAACAAUGGGGGAAUAUGGCAAAAGGGGCGAAAGCUGGAUGCAGAAAUGCCGCGUGUAUGAUGAAGGCCUUCGGGUUGUAAGGUACGUUCAGCGGGGAGGCGUUACCCGCAGAAGAAGCACCGGCUAACUCCGUGCCAGCAGCCGCGGUAAUAC